UACGGAGGGGGCUAGCGUUGUUCGGAAUUACUGGGCGUAAAGCGCACGUAGGCGGCUUUGUAAGUUAGAGGUGAAAGCCCAGGGCUCAACACUGGAAUUGCCUUUAAGACUGCAUCGCUUGAACAUCGGAGAGGUAAGUGGAAUUCCGAGUGUAGAGGUGAAAUUCGUAGAUAUUCGGAAGAACACCAGUGACGAAGGCGACUUACUGGACGAUUGUUGACGCUGAGGUGCGAAAGCGUGGGGAGCAAACAGG
rnacentral:rRNA from 1 species